GAUGAACGCUGGCGGCGUGCUUAACACAUGCAAGUCGAACGGAAAGGCCCAAGCUUGCUUGGGUACUCGAGUGGCGAACGGGUGAGUAACACGUGGGUGAUCUGCCCUGCACUUCGGGAUAAGCCUGGGAAACUGGGUCUAAUACCGGAUAGGACCACUUCUUGGAUGUUGUGGUGGAAAGUUUUUUCGGUGUGGGAUGAGCUCGCGGCCUAUCAGCUUGUUGGUGGGGUAAUGGCCUACCAAGGCGUCGACGGGUAGCCGGCCUGAGAGGGUGUACGGCCACAUUGGGACUGAGAUACGGCCCAGACUCCUACGGGAGGCAGCAGUGGGGAAUAUUGCACAAUGGGCGCAAGCCUGAUGCAGCGACGCCGCGUGGGGGAUGACGGCCUUCGGGUUGUAAACUCCUUUCGCUAGGGACGAAGCGUUUUGUGACGGUACCUGGAGAAGAAGCGCCGGCUAACUACGUG
rnacentral:rRNA from 1 species